CCGCCGCCAGCCGCCGGGUAAAGUCUUAGGUUCAGGGAACAAAGCCUGGCUUGGUAGGGAGCUUUUCGCUCUUUCGCUCCGUGCUGCUUUGCCUGCUUUCUUUUUCGUUUUACGGCUCUGGGUCGUCGCUCACGAGCCCUCCCUCUGCCCGCCCUCCCGUCUCGGGCCCCGGGUCCCCGAGCCUCCAGCCCCCUCCGCCAAGUCUUCGUCUCUGGGUGGAUUCUUUAGCCCCAGGGAAACUUGGGAGUGGAUACCGGGGAAAGGGGUGCUAGGAGGAAUGGGAGCGACGCGGGUCGUUCGCCCCCGCCCCACCCCGUGUCUGGGGGUCUUUUUGGAUGGCCGCCCUCGGGCCGUUUCCUCGGUAGGCGCUCUCACACGCAGACAUUUGUUCAUUCAACAGAUAUUUAUUAAACGCCCGUUGCCAGUCGCUGGGAUCGAGUAGAGAGCAAAACAUAUUCCUGCCCUCGGGGAGCUUCCUGUCGGGUUCACAGACACACACGCACGCACAGAGACUCAGAGCCCCAGAGACACACACCGAGGCACCCACAGACACGAGCUAUCUCCCAGCUUCAGUCACACCACUGACCCUCCCAGAGACACGAACCUCCGCUCCAGCCCUGCGGGUGCGCUUAGAGACCCACGAGGGUUAGAGACCCGCAACCACGAGGUGCUCACGAACACCAGUUACACUUGACCUCUAGGCACGCACACAGACACACAAGGUAACUCACACGCAGCACUCCAGAGAACUAAAGUCCCUGCAGUUGGGUCUGGGGGAGAAGUGAGGGGCGUCGGCCCAAAGUCUUCUUCCCAAGACCUGUGUGGGCAAGCGGGGAGGUGAGAUCUGACCCCCAAAAACUUCCUAAAGGGGAGACUUUCGUGGGGACUAAAGGUCACCCGCCCCCCACAGCGGGAGUUCGGGUGGCGUAGGGGAGAAGGCAGCCCUGGGGGCUUCAACGACACUUCAAAGACCUCGCGGCCGGGAACGCUUCCUGCGGGGGAGGGGCAAACAGAGAGGAGAUGGGAAGACGGGCCGGGGAACUGGGGGUGGAGGAGGCCGCCUCCCCUUCGGCGCACUGCCCCCUGGCAGACUCUUCCGCCGGGUCCGCCUCCUUUUCACCAGCACCUGUUCAACCGGAACAUCAAGGGCCUGGAGCCCGCCGCGGCCCCCCGUCGGCUUUUUAGUACCUUUCAUCCGGGAAGGGAGGGAAUCUCGGAGGGCUGCCGGGACGAAGAGGCUACAUCUACACAGGGCGGUGUAGGGGAAGCCCGCCUCUUCGACCUCCGUGUCUGGGAGUAGGGGCCGAGAGCCAGAUUAUUGCGAUAACCGGAAUCCCGGCGAGGACGGCCGCGCUCCGAUUCCUUGGUCAAAUUUGUGAAUUUCGCUAACAGUUAAAGUUAAACAAGACAGAGGAGAAACUGCACUUAGGGGUUUCUAACGAAUUACCUUUACUAGCAAGAAUAAAACUGCAAGAAAAAUGUCAGUCCUAAAUCA